rnacentral:piRNA from 1 species
UAGAAAUCACAAGAUAUGGUAAACCUUCAC